rnacentral:rRNA from 1 species
GACGAACGCUGGCGGCGUGCUUAACACAUGCAAGUCGAACGGAAAGGCCCUGCUUUUGUGGGGUGCUCGAGUGGCGAACGGGUGAGUAACACGUGAGUAACCUGCCCUUGACUUUGGGAUAACUUCAGGAAACUGGGGCUAAUACCGGAUAGGAGCUCCUGCUGCAUGGUGGGGGUUGGAAAGUUUCGGCGGUUGGGGAUGGACUCGCGGCUUAUCAGCUUGUUGGUGGGGUAGUGGCUAACCAAGGCUUUGACGGGUAGCCGGCCUGAGAGGGUGACCGGCCACAUGGCUACUGAGGUACGACCCAGACGCGAACGGGAGGCAACGGUGGAGAGUAUUGUACAGUGGGCGGAAGCCUGAUGCGACAACGCCGCGUGGGGGAAGACGGCCAUGGGGUUGUAAAGCGCAGUCGCCUGUGACGAAGCGUGAGUGACGGUAAUGGGUAAAGAAGCACCGGCUAACUACGUG